CUGCUUGAUAACCGCUUAUCAGCGACUUCGCAGAGGUCCAGUUAAGCAUGUUUAAAAAAAAUAAAUGUCCCUUCCUCCUCAGAAGCUAUACAUCGUGCAAGUGUGGCAGAGAGGCCAGAAAGCUGCCCUUCCACUGCAGCCCUCCAUCUCUCCACUCUCCUGGACUCUCACCCGUGAAAGAAACAACGAGGGGAUCUUGGUAACAGUGCUUCCUAACCUUCAGCCAUCUGCCGAUCUAACGCAGUGACAACUUGGGUCGCCAAUCCCAUUCUUUGCAAGGAAGCGGCACUGAUCUCUGUCUCAAGAGCAGAGACGAGUGGAGAAGAAAGGAAAGAGAACACUACAAGAAUGUGUGGAGGAAGGAGUGAGCGCGUGUGCCUGGGGAGGAGAGAAGCCAGUCAGAGCAGUGGCGGUUGCUGAGAAGUUCUGGCAAACUGGGGGUGACCACGAUGCAGAAGGCGACUGGCAGAAUCUAAAGAGCAAAUGGCCAAUCAAAUUAUGAAUCCUGAACAUUCACAAACAUAAAAUAGUGUAAGUAUACAAUUAUUCAUGGCAGCACUGUUUGCAGAACAUGUGGAUCAGGAGGGAAUUGGUAAAUUAAGUUGCAGUACAGGUAUCUAAAAGGGGCUGGGGUUAAAAGCAACUUUGUUACUGAUGAAGCAUCGGCCAGAGUGGCACAGCAGUAAAGUAACACCCUCCAAUGCUGAGACCACAGGACAGGUCUCCCUGCACAUGCUGGGCAGCCGUGCAUGCCCAUGAUCCCGGCUGGCGGAGGACCGUGACAUAAAGGCCCUGUUGGAAGUGUCUGUCUCUGACUUUCUCUCUC